rnacentral:rRNA from 1 species
AACGAACGCUGGCGGCAGGCUUAACACAUGCAAGUCGAGCGCCCCGCAAGGGGAGCGGCAGACGGGUGAGUAACGCGUGGGAAUCUACCCAUCUCUACGGAACAACUCCGGGAAACUGGAGCUAAUACCGUAUACGUCCUUCGGGAGAAAGAUUUAUCGGAGAUGGAUGAGCCCGCGUUGGAUUAGCUAGUUGGUGGGGUAAUGGCCUACCAAGGCGACGAUCCAUAGCUGGUCUGAGAGGAUGAUCAGCCACACUGGGACUGAGACACGGCCCAGACUCCUACGGGAGGCAGCAGUGGGGAAUAUUGGACAAUGGGCGAAAGCCUGAUCCAGCCAUGCCGCGUGAGUGAUGAAGGCCCUAGGGUUGUAAAGCUCUUUCAACGGUGAAGAUAAUGACGGUAACCGUAGAAGAAGCCCCGGCUAACUUCGUGCCAGCAGCCGCGGUAACAC